rnacentral:rRNA from 1 species
AACAGGAUUAGAUACCCUGGUAGUCCAUGCCGUAAACGAUGUCUACUAGCCGUUGGGGCCUUUGAGGCUUUAGUGGCGCAGCUAACGCGAUAAGUAGACCGCCUGGGGAGUACGGUCGCAAGACUAAAACUCAAAUGAAUUGACGGGGGCCCGCACAAGCGGUGGAGCAUGUGGUUUAAUUCGAUGCAACGCGAAGAACCUUACCUGGCCUUGACAUACUAAGAACUUUCCAGAGAUGGAUUGGUGCCUUCGGGAACUUAGAUACAGGUGCUGCAUGGCUGUCGUCAGCUCGUGUCGUGAGAUGUUGGGUUAAGUCCCGCAACGAGCGCAACCCUUUUCCUUAUUUGCCAGCGGGUUAAGCCGGGAACUUUAAGGAUACUGCCAGUGACAAACUGGAGGAAGGCGGGGACGACGUCAAGUCAUCAUGGCCCUUACGGCCAGGGCUACACACGUGCUACAAUGGUCGGUACAAAGGGUUGCUACCUCGCGAGAGGAUGCUAAUCUCAAAAAGCCGAUCGUAGUCCGGAUCGCAGUCUGCAACUCGACUGCGUGAAGUCGGAAUCGCUAGUAAUCGCGGAUCAGAAUGCCGCGGUGAAUACGUUCCCGGGCCUUGUACACACCACCCGUCACACCAUGGGAGUUUGUUGCACCAGAAGUAGGUAGUCUAACCGCAAGGAGGACGCUUACCACGGUGUGGCCGAUGACUGGGGUGAAGUCGUAACAAGGUAACC